GUACCCUCAAGCUUUGCUUGGUGUUGGGCGUCUUGUCUCUAGCUUUGCUGGAGACUCGCCUUAAAGUAAUUGGCAGCCGGCCUACUGGUUUCGGAGCGCAGCACAAGUCGCACUCUCUAUCAGCAAAGGUCUAGCAUCCAUUAAGCCUUUGUUUUCUAUAACAAAUCCACA
rnacentral:misc_RNA from 1 species